CCUACGGGGGGCAACAGUCGAGAAUCAUUCACAAUGGGGGAAACCCUGAUGGUGCGACGCCGCGUGGGGGAAUGAAGGUCUUCGGAUUGUAAACCCCUGUCAUGUGGGAGCAAAUUAAAAAGAUAGUACCACAAGAGGAAGAGACGGCUAACUCUGUGCCAGCAGCCGCGGUAAUACAGAGGUCUCAAGCGUUGUUCGGAAUCACUGGGCGUAAAGCGUGCGUAGGCUGUUUCGUAAGUCGUGUGUGAAGGGCGCGGGCGCAACCCGCGGACGGCACAUGAUACUGCGAGACUAGAGUAAUGGAGGGGGAACCGGAAUUCUCGGUGUAGCAGUGAAAUGCGUAGAUAUCGAGAGGAACACUCGUGGCGAAGGCGGGUUCCUGGACAUUAACUGACGCUGAGGCACGAAGGCCAGGGGAGCGAAAGGGAUUAGAUACCCCGGUAGUC
rnacentral:rRNA from 1 species